AGCGAACGCUGGCGGCAGGCCUAACACAUGCAAGUCGAACGAACCUUUCGGGGUUAGUGGCGGACGGGUGAGUAACACGUGGGAACGUGCCUUUAGGUUCGGAAUAACUCAGGGAAACUUGUGCUAAUACCGAAUGUGCCCUUCGGGGGAAAGAUUUAUCGCCUUUAGAGCGGCCCGCGUUUGAUUAGCUAGUUGGUUGAGGUAAUGGCUAACCAAGGCGACGAUCAGUAGCUGGUCUGAGAGGAUGAUCAGCCACAUUGGGACUGAGACACGGCCCAAACUCCUACGGGAGGCAGCAGUGGGGAAUCUUGCGCAAUGGGCGAAAGCCUGACGCAGCCAUGCCGCGUGAAUGAUGAAGGUCUUAGGAUUGUAAAAUUCUUUCACCGGGGACGAUAAUGACGGUACCCGGAGAAGAAGCCCCGGCUAACUUCGUG
rnacentral:rRNA from 1 species